UAUACUUUAAGGUUUUUUUUUAUUUUUGUCAAGUCCCACUUAUGUUGCAAGACUCAAUAUGUUGAGUGUAAUUUCCUGUAACAGCUGGACACUAGCUUUUAAAA